GGGAUUGCCUUAGUAACUGCGAGUGAAGCGGCAAAAGCUCAGAUUUGAAACCUGCCGUAUUCUACGGCUGGAUUGUAAUCUGGAGAGACAUCUUCCGUGGGCCUGGCUGGUCUAAGUUCCUUGGAACAGGACGUCAGAGAGGGUGAGAAUCCCGUAUCUGGCUGGCUCGGGCCCGCUUUGUGAAGUGUCUUCGACGAGUCGAGUUGUUUGGGAAUGCAGCUCAAAAUGGGUGGUAAAUUUCAUCUAAAGCUAAAUAUUGGCGAGAGACCGAUAGCGCACAAGUAGAGUGAUCGAAAGAUGAAAAGCACUUUGAAAAGAGAGUCAAAAAGUACGUGAAAUUGUUGAAAGGGAAGCGCUUGAGACCAGACUCGGGCUUAGGUGAUCAGCGGUGCUUCUGCUCCGUGCACUUGCCUAUGCCCGGGCCAGCAUCGGUUGCGGCGGCGGGAUAAAGGCCUGAGGAACGUGGCCCCCUUCGGGGGGUGUUAUAGCCCCAGGCGCAAUACCGCCAGUUGCGACCGAGGACCGCGCUUCGGCUAGGAUGCUGGCGUAAUGGUCUUCAGCGACCCGUCUUGAAACACGGACCAAGGAGUCUAACAUCUAUGCGAGUGUUCGGGUGCAAAACCCCUGCGCGUAAUGAAAGUGAACGGAGGUGGGAACCCUUCGCGGGGUGCACCAUCGACCGAUCCUGAUGUCUUCGGAUGGAUUUGAGUAGGAGCAUAGCUGUUGGGACCCGAAAGAUGGUGAACUAUGCCUGAAUAGGGUGAAGCCAGAGGAAACUCUGGUGGAGGCUCGCAGCGGUUCUGACGUGCAAAUCGAUCGUCAAAUUUGGGUAUAGGGGCGAAAGACUAAUCGAACCAUCUAGUAGCUGGUUCCUGCCGAAGUUUCCCU
rnacentral:rRNA from 1 species